rnacentral:lncRNA from 1 species
CAAGGUCUGUGGACAAGAGAAUGCAUAAAUAAACCGAUGUGUGGGCGUCCAACGGAAGACAGAGCCAGUGCGAAGCCCACCUCAGCCAUGUGCAGUGGCCCAGAGGUGUCUUAGAAACACCAAAAAUCAAACCCUAGGGUGACAGAAACAUGGUGCCAUUGCUAUAGAACCAAACAGAGGUGCAGCCCCUCCAUCUGAGGGACCUGCCCGGAUCGCAAGCCUGCAACUCAAACUUCCCGUUUCUAACCACAGAUCUAUUUCCCAGCUGAACAUGUGAUUGAAAACAUGCUAUGCUUUUAAAGGUGACUGAAGAAUAACACUAAAGUCACAGAAGACGACUUGGAAAAGCUGCUUAGUGCAACCACACGGCACAGAAGAGCUCGAGAGACAGAAGAGGCACAGCCGAGGCGCCAGUCGGGCGAACAGGGAGCCAAGCUCUGCCGACUUCCGUCCUCUCACGUCUAGGCGGCAGACUCCUGGAACCCGCACCCUGUAACCCAGGCAGAGGUG